UGGGGAAUUUUGGACAAUGGAGGGAACUCUGAUCCAGCAAUUCUGUGUGUGUGAAGAAGGUUUUAGGACUGUAAAACACUUUUAGUAGGGAAGAAAAAAAUGACGGUACCUACAGAAGAAGCAACGGCUAAAUACGUGCCAGCAGCCGCGGUAAUACGUAUGUUGCGAGCGUUAUCCGGAAUUAUUGGGCUUAAAGGGCAUCUAGGCGGUAAGACAAGUUGAAGGUGAAAACCUGUGGCUCAACCAUAGGCUUGCCUACAAAACUGUUGAACUAGAGUACUGGGAAGGUGGGUGGAACUACACGAGUAGAGGUGAAAUUCGUAGAUAUGUGUAGGAAUGCCGAUGAUGAAGAUAACUCACUGGACAGAAACUGACGCUGAAGUGCGAAAGCUAGGGGAGCAAACAGG
rnacentral:rRNA from 1 species